UUCCCGCACCCAGAAGUAUGGGCAGUUAAACAAACCGUGGUGCGUAGGUCAUAAUAGACUCAUUUCAAUUUUUUUGUAAUAAAAAUUGUGUUCUGUAGUGUUAGCUAUUGUAAGGAAAUCCCUGAGAAAGCCAGAGUAAAGCUAUAAUGACGUUUGUAAACUGUAAUUACUUUCGAAGAACCAAAGGUUUUGCUCCAAGGAACUUCUACGAUAAAGAAAUGUAGUCGACCGUAGCAGUGUAAUCUGCAUACACAUAAAUAAUGCGCGCCUGAUCCUGUUAAACGACCGAAUUAAAACUGCAAUAUCCUAUUGUCAUGCACAGGUACAUUGCUGACUUGUGUUGUUGGUGCCAAUUCCAUCCAAUGCCAUUCUCCCCGUUUUAAUCGAAAAUGACUGGGGUUGAUAUGGAUGCCUUGGAAAUUAAUGCUGAUCCAGAAGAAGAGAAGAAAAAUUAUGAUG